CAAUUUGGACCAUUGCCAUGCCGCGCACGCCUUAGCAGCCCUAAUUGUCUUUGAGACUACCGGAAAGGCGUAAAAGUUGGCUGAAUAAGCGGCGCCGUAGCCCUACGAAAUCGAAGAGAUCAUGGAACUUUAGUUACAUUGGCUGCGUGCAGCUCUCUAGGUUCGCCGCGGCGUUUGGUAUUCGUCCACACCUCCGAGUACUUGCUCGCGGCUGCCAUACACAGGCGAUACAAUGUUUCAUGGAACUGCCGGUGAUGGGAAGCAUGGGCCUGCAUACUUGAGCAUGCUGGUUCAUGCAAAACUUCAGUCUAAGCCCCACAGAUUGUCACAGUGGGAGGUCUUUAUGAAGAUUUUGGAUGGUGCUUGACAAUAAGCAAAAAGAGCUGGUAGGAACUCUUGAGCUCUUUAAAAGUUGGAUCAUUUUCUUCUCCCUAUCACACACCCGUGUUUAAUGAGAACCUUCUCAUAGAAGUGGGAUAUAUGUAAUCUUGAUGGUUAUGUUAGAGUUGUUUCAUAUAUGGUACUUGAAAAUUAAAUUGAAAAGAGGGGAGAGUAGAAAAUGAGAAAUUAUAUGACUAAA